rnacentral:sRNA from 1 species
UGUUGGAGCCGUCUGCAAAGUGUCCCCGGCAAGAAGAGGCUGCCUACCACAAGAACUUUAGCUUACUUUUUAAAGAUUGAAGAAAAAAAAAGAAGACAGAAAAAGAAGAACUCAAAGAUACACAAAGUAAUUUGACCAAGGCUCAGAAGUUUUUGGAGCCGUGAGGGAUACAGCAGUUUGGUCAAUAUUGUCUUAACAUGCUUCAAAUAAAUCAGCUUCUCUCCAAGAUAAAAUGGCAAACCCAAAAGAGAAAACUGCAAUGUGUCUGGUAAAUGAGUUAGCCCGUUUCAAUAGAGUCCAACCCCAGUAUAAACUUCUGAAUGAAAGAGGGCCUGCUCAUUCAAAGAUGUUCUCAGUGCAGCUGAGUCUUGGUGAGCAGACAUGGGAAUCCGAAGGCAGCAGUAUAAAGAAGGCUCAACAGGCUGUUGCCAAUAAAGCUUUGACUGAAUCUACACUUCCCAAACCAGUUCAGAAGCCACCCAAAAGUAAUGUUAACAAUAACCCAGGCAGUAUAACUCCAACUGUGGAACUGAAUGGGCUUGCUAUGAAAAGGGGAGAGCCUGCCAUCUACAGGCCAUUAGAUCCAAAGCCAUUCCCAAAUUAUAGAGCUAAUUACAACUUUCGGGGCAUGUACAAUCAGAGAUGAAGAUUUACCUAAGUCAGUGUUAUAAGAUGUUCCAUGGUAAAAGGGAUUUGGAGACAAAUUUUGGAAAUGCUGCAUACUGUAUCUCUCUUGAAGAUUCCUACAGGUGUCAUGAAGAAAACUGUUUACCUAAGUGGUUCUUAACAUUAACUGAACAUCAGGCUUUCCUGGGCAGUUUUAAAAAUUCCGAUGCCCAGGCUUUAUUUCGAUUAAUUAAAUCAGAAUUUCUGGUUGCAGAGCUUGAACCCCAGUGUUUUUUAAAACUUCCCCAGGUAAUUCUAUGUCCAGUCAUUUAAAUACUGGUCCCCACAACCCAAAACACAUUACCCUCUAUUAACAUCAAAGAUUAUGAGAUGGUUUGAAUAGUCAUAGAACUUUUGAAAGAAGUAAAGAAGAAG